rnacentral:rRNA from 1 species
CGUUAAGUCGACCGCCUGGGGAGUACGGCCGCAAGGUUAAAACUCAAAUGAAUUGACGGGGGCCCGCACAAGCGGUGGAGCAUGUGGUUUAAUUCGAUGCAACGCGAAGAACCUUACCUGGUCUUGACAUCCACGGAAGUUUUCAGAGAUGAGAAUGUGCCUUCGGGAACCGUGAGACAGGUGCUGCAUGGCUGUCGUCAGCUCGUGUUGUGAAAUGUUGGGUUAAGUCCCGCAACGAGCGCAACCCUUAUCCUUUGUUGCCAGCGGUCCGGCCGGGAACUCAAAGGAGACUGCCAGUGAUAAACUGGAGGAAGGUGGGGAUGACGUCAAGUCAUCAUGGCCCUUACGACCAGGGCUACACACGUGCUACAAUGGCGCAUACAAAGAGAAGCGACCUCGCGAGAGCAAGCGGACCUCAUAAAGUGCGUCGUAGUCCGGAUUGGAGUCUGCAACUCGACUCCAUGAAGUCGGAAUCGCUAGUAAUCGUGGAUCAGAAUGCCACGGUGAAUACGUUCCCGGGCCUUGUACACACCGCCCGUCACACCAUGGGAGUGGGUUGCAAAAGAAGUAGGUAGCUUAACCUUCGGGAGGGCGCUUACCACUUUGUGAUUCAUGACUGGGGUGAAGUCGUAACAAGGUAACCGUAGGGGAACCUGCGGUUGGA